rnacentral:rRNA from 1 species
GACGAACGCUGGCGGCGUGCCUAAUACAUGCAAGUCGAACGAAGUGGGGACGGGUGAGUAACACGUGGGUAACCUCCCAUCAGAGGGGAUAACAUUUGGAAACAGGUGCUAAACCGAUACUGAUGGAUGGACCCGCGGUGCAUUAGCUAGUUGGUGAGGUAACGGCUCACCAAGGCCACGAUGCAUAACUGACCUGCGAGGGUGAUCGGCCACACUGGAACUGAGACACGGCCCAGACUCCUACGGUAGGCAGCAGUAGGGAAUCUUCGGCAAUGGACGAAAGUCUGACCGAGCAACGCCGCGUGAGUGAAGAAGGUUUUCGGAUCGUAAAACUCUGUUGUUAGAGAAGCGGUAUCUAACCAAAAAGCCACGGCUAACUACGUGCCAGCAGCCGCGGUAAUAC